rnacentral:rRNA from 1 species
AAUCAACGCUGGCGGCGUGCCUAACACAUGCAAGUCGAACGAGAAAGGGUAGCAAUACCUGAGUAAAGUGGCGCACGGGUGAGUAACACGUGACUAACCUACCCUGGAGUGGGGGAUAACUGAGGGAAACCUUAGCUAAUACCGCAUAACACCUACGGGUCAAAGGAGCAAUUCGCUUUAGGAGGGGGUCGCGGUCGAUUAGUUAGUUGGCGGGGUAAUGGCCCACCAAGACUGUGAUCGAUAUCCGGCCUGAGAGGGCGCACGGACACACUGGAACUGAAACACGGUCCAGACUCCUACGGGAGGCAGCAGUGGGGAAUUUUGCGCAAUGGGGGAAACCCUGACGCAGCAACGCCGCGUGGAGGAUGAAGUACUUCGGUACGUAAACUCCUUUCGAUCGGGACGAUAAUGACGGUACCGGAAGAAGAAGCCCCGGCUAACUUCGUGCCAGCAGCCGCGGUAAUACGAGGGGGGCAAGCGUUGUUCGGAAUUAUUGGGCGUAAAGGGUGCGUAGGCGGUUUGGUAAGUCUUGUGUGAAAUCUCCAGGCUCAACUUGGAGACUGCACGAGAAACUGCCG